GUAGAGUAGCAAUACUCGAGAGUGGCGAACGGGUGAGUAAUAUAUCGGAACGUGCCCAAUCGUGGGGGAUAACGUAGAGAAAUUUACGCUAAUACCGCAUACGAUCCAAGGAUGAAAGCGGGGGACUCGCAAGGGCCUCGCGCGAUUGGAGCGGCUGAUAUCAGAUUAGGUUGUUGGUGAGGUAAAAGCUCACCAAGCCGACGAUCUGUAGCUGGUUUGAGAGAACGACCAGCCACACUGGGACUGAGACACGGCCCAGACUCCUACGGGAGGCAGCAGUGGGGAAUUUUGGACAAUGGGCGAAAGCCUGAUCCAGCAAUGCCGCGUGCAGGAAGAAGGCCUUCGGGUUGUAAACUGCUUUUGUACGGAACGAAACGGUCUGCUUUAAUACAGCGGGCUAAUGACGGUACCGUAAGAAUAAGCACCGGCUAACUACGUGCCAGCAGCCGCGGUAAUACGUAGGGUGCGAGCGUUAAUCGGAAUUACUGGGCGUAAAGCGUGCGCAGGCGGUUAUAUAAGACAGUUGCGAAAUCCCCGGGCUCAACCUGGGAAUUGCAUUUGUGACUGUAUAGCUAGAGUACGGUAGAGGGGGAUGGAAUUCCGCGUGUAGCAGUGAAAUGCGUAGAUAUGCGGAGGAACACCGAUGGCGAANGCAAUCCCCUGGACCUGUACUGACGCUCAUGCACGANAGCGUGGGGAGCAAACAGGAUUAGAUACCCCGGUAGUCCACGCCCUAAACGAUGUCAACUGGUUGUUGGGUGCAUUAGUACUCAGUAACGAAGCUAACGCGUGAAGUUGACCGCCUGGGGAGUACGGCCGCAAGGUUGAAACUCAAAGGAAUUGACGGGGANCCGCACNAGCGGNGGNNGAUGUGGUUUAAUUCGAUGCAACGCGAAAAANCNUUACCUACCUUUGAC
rnacentral:rRNA from 1 species